rnacentral:rRNA from 1 species
UACGUAGGGCGCAAGCGUUGUUCGGAAUUACUGGGCGUAAAGGGCGCGUAGGCGGUUCAUUAAGUUGGAUGUGAAAACUCUGGGCUUAACCCAGAGCCUGCAUUCAAAACUGAUGGGCUGGAGUUCUGGAGGGGAUAGCGGAAUUCCUGGUGUAGCGGUGAAAUGCGUAGAUAUCAGGAGGAACACCGGUGGCGAAGGCGGCUAUCUGGACAGAAACUGACGCUGAGGCGCGAAAGCUAGGGGAGCAAACAGG